rnacentral:misc_RNA from 1 species
AACCAUUCUCACCUGCGGCUAGACCUGCGGAGGGAUCAUUACUGAGUGAGGGCCUUCGGGCUCGACCUCCAACCCUUUGUGAACACAACUUGUUGCUUCGGGGGCGACCCUGCCGUUUCGACGGCGAGCGCCCCCGGAGGCCUUCAAACACUGCAUCUUUGCGUCGGAGUUUAAGUAAAUUAAACAAAACUUUCAGCAACGGAUCU